AGCAGCCGCGGUAAUUCCAGCUCCAAUAGCGUAUAUUAAAGUUGUUGCAGUUAAAAAGCUCGUAGUUGAAUUUCGGGGUCUGUCCAUCGGUCGGGCUUUUUCGGUCCGCACUGUUGCGAUGGAUUCCUACCUUCUGAAUAACCGAUUUGCCAUUAAUUUGGUGGGUCGGGGAAGCAGGACUGUUACCUUGAAAAAUUAGAGUGCUCAAAGCAGGCUAGUGCCUGAAUACAUUAGCAUGGAAUAAUAAAAUAGGACGGCAUGGUUCUAUUUUGUUGGUUUCUAGGAUCACCGUAAUGAUUAAUAGGGAUAGUUGGGGGCAUUAGUAUUCAAUUGUCAGAGGUGAAAUUCUUGGAUUUAUUGAAGACUAACUACUGCGAAAGCAUUUGCCAAGGAUGUUUUCAUUAAUCAAGAACGAAAGUUAGGGGAUCGAAGACGAUCAGAUACCGUCGUAGUCUUAACCAUAAACUAUGCCG
rnacentral:rRNA from 1 species